rnacentral:rRNA from 1 species
AUACGGAGGGUGCAAGCGUUAAUCGGAAUUACUGGGUGUAAAGCGUUCGUAGGCGGUUUGUUAAGUUAGAUGUGAAAGCCCCGGGCUCAACCUGGGAACUGCAUUUAAAACUGGCAAACUCGAGUUUAGGAGAGGGAAGUGGAAUUUCAGGUGUAGCAGUGAAAUGCGUAGAGAUCUGAAGGAACACCAGUGGCGAAGGCGACUUCCUGGACUAAAACUGACGCUGAGGAACGAAAGCGUGGGUAGCAAACGGGAUUAGAAACCCCUGUAGUCC